rnacentral:rRNA from 1 species
CAUGGCUGUCGUCAGCUCGUGUCGUGAGAUGUUGGGUUAAGUCCCGCAACGAGCGCAACCCUCGCCUUUAGUUGCCAUCAUUCAGUUGGGCACUCUAGAGGGACCGCCGGCGACAAGCCGGAGGAAGGUGGGGAUGACGUCAAGUCCUCAUGGCCCUUACACCCUGGGCUACACACGUGCUACAAUGGCGGUGACAGUGGGCAGCUACUUCGCGAGAAGCGGCUAAUCCCAAAAACCGUCCCAGUUCAGAUUGCACUCUGCAACUCGAGUGCAUGAAGGUGGAAUCGCUAGUAAUCGCAGAACAGCAGGCUGCGGUGAAUACGUUCCCGGGCCUUGUACACACCGCCCGUCACGGCAUGGGAGUUGGUUCUACCUUAAGACGGUGCGCUAACCCGCAAGGGAGGCAGCCGGCCACGGUAGGAUCAGCGACUGGGCCGAAGUCGUAACAAGGUAGC